rnacentral:rRNA from 1 species
UACAGAGGUCUCAAGCGUUGUUCGGAAUUACUGGGCGUAAAGGGUGCGCAGGCCGCGCGGGCAGUCAAAUGUGUAAUCCAGGGGCUUAACCCCUGAACUGCGCUUGAUACUUCCGCGCUCGAGCUUUGGAGAGGAGUCUGGAAUUCUCGGUGUAGCAGUGAAAUGCGUGGAUAUCGAGAAGAACACUUAGGGCGAAGGCAAGACUCUGGACAAAUGCUGACGCUCAUGCACGAAGGCUAGGGUAGCGAACGGG